GGAGAGAAGAGAUACACGGAGACAGAAGUCCCUAGAUAAAGCUACCAUCCACCCACUCCCAUGCAGCAGCUUGGGGAGGUGGGGAAGGAGAGUGAUUUCUGGUUAUGGAUGCUAGUCACAGGAUGCUUGCCUAAAUGGAACGUGUGGGCUCCAGCUUUUUGCAAGGGGACUGGAUCUAAGUGGAGGGAUGGGCCAGGACUCUGUGGUUCUCCUGUCUAUGAUCUAUCCCUGGG
rnacentral:lncRNA from 1 species